AGAAUUAUGUAGCUGUCUGUAAGUAUACAUUCGAAUAUGAUAUUUUUUGCCCGAAUGUUUUUCUACACUGCGUGACGAUGAAGUGGCAUAUAAGAAACUAUGCGCAUAGGCAAACGUUAAUAUUUUAAUUUUAAUUUAUUAAAAUUUCGACAAUUUUAAGAAUUUAAAGAUUAAAGGAAAUUUGUAAAGAAUAUCUUCAUGGACUCUAUUGCUUAAGCAGCUCGUAUUUUUUUAAAAUUAAAGUGGAAAAAGUAUUUGUUUUUCCUGUUCUGUUGGGGAAUUCGUUAACUUUGUACAAAUGACAAAAAAGCUACAAAUGUGAUUUGUAUAUUAUAAAUAUUUAAUAUAUUUAUUUAUUUCUUA